rnacentral:lncRNA from 13 species
GCUGCCACCUGCACAGCAGAGGCCCAGGACAUCUCUCCCUAACUACUGUCAUCAAUACAGGCCAUCUCUCCCUAACUACUGUCUAAUGUCAUCAAUACAGGACAUCUCUCCCCAACUACUGUCUAAUAUCACCAAUACAGGACAUCUCUCCCUAACUACUGUCUAAUGAGAGUACGCUGCCACCUGCACAGCAGAGGCCCAGGACAUCUCUCCCUAAGUACUGUCAUCAAUACAAGCCAUCUCUCCCUAACUACUGUCUAAUGUCAUCAAUACAGGCCAUCUCUCCCUAACUACUGUCUAAUUUCACCAAUACAGGCCAUCUCUCCNNNNNNNNNNUAUCGUCAACGAGCUAAUAGCCUAGCAUCACAACCCUAAAUCCUGUAGCUUAAGUCAUAUCUGUACUUUAGGCUACAUCCUCCCCUUUAUGUAGCAUGACAGCAUUACAGUAGAGAACCAAGAGUACAUCUACCAAGACACAGACUGGGCUCCAAUCACACGGACGUCAACAGAACUGUGCGCUUAUUAUCGUCAACGAGCUAAUAGCCUAGCAUCACAACCCUAAAUCCUGUAGUUUAAGUCAUCUGUACUUUAGGCUACAUCCUCCCCUUUAUGUAGCAUGACAGCAUUACAGUAGAGAACCAAGAGUACAUCUACCAAGACACAGACUGGGCUCCAAUCACACGGACGUCAACAGAACUGUGCGCUUAUUAUCGUCAACGAGCUAAUAGCCUAGCAUCACAACCCUAAAUCCUGUAGCUUAAGUCAUCUGUACUUUAGGCCACAUCCUCCCCUUUAUGUAGCAUGACACUUCUAAUGAAGACUUGACCUUCCAGUGAAGAAAACAGGAAACUACAUGUAAAAACAACGCCGAGGAGGUUGGUGUUGUAAUUAUGGCAAAAGGCUGUGGUUUUUAAAACUGACGUAACAUACGAUGAAGAAAUGCAUCAACGCAAUAAAGGAGCGAAACAAUUACAGAGAUCGAGAGUACGCUGCCACCUGCACAGCAGAGGCCCAGGACAUCUCUCCCCAACUACUGUCUAAUGAGAGUACGCUGCCACCUGCACAGCAGAGGCCCAGGACAUCUCUCCCCAACUACUGUCUAAUGAGAGUACGCUGCCACCUGCACAGCAGAGGCCCAGGCCAUCUCUCCCUAACUACUGUCUAAUGUCAUCAAUACAGGACAUCUCUCCCCAACUACUGUCUAAUAUCACCAAUACAGGACAUCUCUCCCUAACUACUGUCUAAUGAGAGUACGCUGCCACCUGCACAGCAGAGGCCCAGGACAUCUCUCCCUAAGUACUGUCAUCAAUACAAGCCAUCUCUCCCUAACUACUGUCUAAUGUCAUCAAUACAGGCCAUCUCUCCCUAACUACUGUCUAAUUUCACCAAUACAGGCCAUCUCUCC